UCCCAUGGAACCCGAUGUUAUUGUUUUACCAGGCAUGUGUAUAAAUAGCCAACAGGAAUGACUAGUUACAAACACCUUCAUUUGUUGCUUUAUUAAGAGAUGGAGUCUGUCUGUGUUCUGCUGCUGUUGCUGUGCUGCUGCAGUCUGUCUGGUGCGCAAGUUGUGAGCAGUAGUGAGGGAAACGUCGCAAGCGAAAGCUCUCAACACGUUGACGACAAAGUAGGAAACUACUGGAUGAAUGAGCCUCGGUGAAGUGGCACCACCGGCUCCCAAUCGGACAUCUACACUGUGCUGAGAGAACUUAGUGUCAAAAUGGAAAGAAGAGACCUAAGGUGGCGUUCUCAGCAUCACUCUUCCCAUCAUCUCAACACAAAGGGCCCUUUAAUAUUGACACCACCCUGAUAUUCACAAAUGUUAUCACAAACAUUGGCGAAGCUUACAACUCUGGAACAGGUGUCUUUGCUGCACCGGUGAGAGGGGUCUACUACUUCACGUUCACUUGCAAUUCUGGGACUACAGGAAAAGUGAAUGCGGCCCUGUUGAAGAAUGGCCAAAAUAUGGCUUCCAUGAUUGAAAAUAAUAAUACUGGCAGCAUGGGGUCAAAUAGUGUAAUACUGCAGUUAGAUGAAGGUGAUAAUGUUAACAUUAUCCUCUGGAGGGACAACAGCAUCUAUGACAAUGGAUACAGGAGCACAUUCACUGGUGUCCUGCUCUUUCCAAUGUGAGGAGAGCAUACCAUUUGCUUGUUGUAACUAUAAUGAUUGUAAAGUUUUGUAGGAAUGUAUGUACAAUAAUCAAACACUGAUGUUCGUCAUCCUUCAGGAAAUACUACAGGUGCAUUUCUCCAACGUUUAUGCAAACAGGAUUCUGAAGGUUUUACAAAUGUAUGAUUUAUAAAGAUUCUUAAUCACCAAUAGAGUAAAACUGGUUUAUCAGAUGUCACAGAUGCAUAGGAAUCCCCCCACUAAGAUAUCCAGCACUAACUACAGUGAGCCUGAGAACACUGUACUAGAGCAUAUGUGUAAGGACCGAUGCCAGAGAUGAGAAGCAGGUACGGGGAGUCAGCAUUUCAUCAGGAACAAACAGGUAACAGGACAGGAACAGUGUCAGCACACGGGUAAACAAGGACAUAUGACAAUCAAUGCAGAAGCAGGGAACCGAGUUGGGAACCAGACAGAUAU